rnacentral:lncRNA from 1 species
GGGGGCUUACCUGAGUUAGAGGGGCGGCAGCGCGACAGAGACGACGGCGGUGGAGGCAGGCCUCGCCGGAGAGACGAAUUCCAGAGGGGAAGAAGGGAGGUAGAAACCCUAAGAAUUAGAUUUUAUGAUUUGGACAUUUUAGAAAUUGGGAAUAAAAUAGGGAAGAAAGAAAAGGAGGGGGAAGGAGAGGGCCGGCCUCGCCGCGCCGGAGGCGGGGAGGACCGGCGACAUCUGCCGGAGGAGAGAGCGAGAGAGAGAGACGGUAGAGAGAAAAGACAGAGAAUGGCAGAUUUAAGAGGAGAGGGAGCGUGAGGACUGGGGAGGUGCUUA